rnacentral:rRNA from 1 species
AGAAUCAACGCUGGCGGCGUGCCUAACACAUGCAAGUCGAACGAGAAAGUGGAGCAAUCCAUGAGUAAAGUGGCGACCGGGUGAGUAACACGUGACUAACCUACCUUUUAGUGGGGGAUAACCUCGGGAAACCGAGGCUAAUACCGCAUAACAUCGCAAGAUCAAAGCAGCAAUGCGCUGGAAGAGGGGGUCGCGGCUGAUUAGCUAGUUGGCGGGUAACGCCCACCAAGGCGAAGAUCGGUA